AGUGAACGCUGGCGGUAGGCCUAACACAUGCAAGUCGAACGGCAGCACAGUAAGAGCUUGCUCUUACGGGUGGCGAGUGGCGGACGGGUGAGGAAUACAUCGGAAUCUACUUUUUCGUGGGGGAUAACGUAGGGAAACUUACGCUAAUACCGCAUACGACCUACGGGUGAAAUCAGGGGAUCUUCGGACCUUGCGCGAUUGAAUGAGCCGAUGUCGGAUUAGCUAGUUGGCGGGGUAAAGGCCCACCAAGGCGACGAUCCGUAGCUGGUCUGAGAGGAUGAUCAGCCACACUGGAACUGAGACACGGUCCAGACUCCUACGGGAGGCAGCAGUGGGGAAUAUUGGACAAUGGGCGCAAGCCUGAUCCAGCCAUACCGCGUGGGUGAAGAAGGCCUUCGGGUUGUAAAGCCCUUUUGUUGGGAAAGAAAAGAAGCAGGUUAAUACCCCGCUGUUCUGACGGUACCCAAAGAAUAAGCACCGGCUAACUUCGUG
rnacentral:rRNA from 1 species